rnacentral:rRNA from 1 species
GACAGAGGGGGCAAGCGUUGCUCGGAAUCACUGGGCGUAAAGGGCGCGUAGGCGGGAUGGCAAGUCAGUCGUGAAAUCUCUCGGCUCAACCGAGAAACGUCGGCUGAUACUGCCGUUCUUGAGGGAUGCAGAGGAGACUGGAAUUCCUGGUGUAGCGGUGAAAUGCGCAGAUAUCAGGAGGAACACCGGUGGCGAAGGCGGGUCUCUGGGCCGAUACUGACGCUGAGGAGCGAAAGCAUGGGUAGCGAACAGG